rnacentral:miRNA from 3 species
UGAGGGAGUGGAUUGUAUG